rnacentral:lncRNA from 1 species
UCCCAGUAUGAACCAGUAACUGCUCCCAGUGCUCCCAGUUUGACCCCAAACCCCCUCCCAGUGCUCCCAGUACAAACCAGUAUUCCCAGUAUGGCUCCCAGUGCUCCCAGUAUAAACCAGUGACCCCACCCAGUGCUCCCAGUAUGGACCAGUAUGGCUCCCAGUGCUCCCAGUAUGGCUCCCAGUGCUCCCAGUAUGGACCAGUAUGACCCAAACCCUCUCCCAGUGCUCCCAGUAUGGCUCCCAGUGCUCCCAGUAUGGUCCAGUGACCCCUCCCAGUGCUCCCAGUAUGGACCAGUAACCGCUCCCAGUGCUCCCAGUAUGGACCAGUGACCCCUCCCAGUGCUCCCAGUACAAACCAGUGCUCCCAGUAUGGCCCCAACCCUCUCCCAGUAUUCCCAGUUUGGCUCCCAGUGCUCCCAGUAUGGACCAGUAUGGCCCAAACCCUCUCCCAGUACAAACCAGUGCUCCCAGUAUGACCCCAAACCCCAUCCCAGUGCUCCCAGUAUGGACCAGUAUGACCCAAACCCUCUCCCAGUGCUCCCAGUAUGGCUCCCAGUGCUCCCAGUAUGGACCAGUAACCGCUCCCAGUGCUCCCAGUAUGAACCAGUAUGGCUCCCAGUGCUCCCAGUAUGAACCAGUAACCGCUCCCAGUGCUCCCAGUAUGACCCAGUUUGGCUCCCAGUGCUCCCAGUAUAAACCAGUAACCCCCAAUCCUACCCAGUAACCCCUCCCAGUUUGAUCCCAGUCCCUCCCAGUCCCUCCCAGUUUGAUCCCAGUCCCUCCCAGUUUGAUCCCAGUCCCUCCCAGUCCCUCCCAGUCCCUCCCAGUUCAUCCCAGUCCCUCCCAGUCCCCCCGGGCCGGGCCUGUCCCAGCAGCUCCUCCCCCGCCAGACCAGUUCUCCCAGUUCUCCCAGUAAC